rnacentral:rRNA from 1 species
AUGCUUUCUUCAACCCCGCCAUUGAAAAAAAAUCCAAACAUCAACCGAAAGGCUUUGUAUAAGCUCUGUCCAGAAGAUGUGAACAACAGUCAAUGGUGUGGGCUUAUUAAAUAUUGGAAGUCAAAAAAAGGAAGGGCCCUUGCUGAGAAGAACAUAAUUAGUUGUUCCCUCGUGAAGGAUUCACAUAAUGCUGGCACAAGGAAUUAUGCUUGUUAG